CAAUACAUAUUUGCCUUAUAAUUGAAGGCUGGAAUGAAUGGUUUGACAAGAAUAUACCUGUUUCCUUUAGAUUAUUUAGAAUUUUAUUUCUGGAUGAAAAAGUCCAGAUAAAAUUAAUAGACAAGAAGACCCUAUCGAGCUUCAGAAAAAUUAAUAGACUUAAGACAAAUCAAUAUAGUUAAAAGAAAGGCUAUUAAAUACUUUGGUUGGGGCAACUGAGGAGCAGUUAAAGCUUCCUUUAAUUUAUAAUUCUUACUAGUGUUGAUCCAAAGUUUUUGAUCAAAGGAAUUAGUUACCGUAGGGAUAACAGCAUUAUCUUUUUUAAGAGCCCAUAUCGAAAAAAAGGUUUGUGACUCGAUGUUGGACCAGAAUAUCCUAAAGAUGCAGAAGUCUUUAAGGG
rnacentral:rRNA from 1 species